CCUACGGGAGGCAGCAGUGGGGAAUAUUGGACAAUGGGGGGAACCCUGAUCCAGCCAUGCCGCGUGUGUGAAGAAGGCCCUCGGGUUGAAAAGCACUUUCAGUGAGGAAGAACGCCUGGUGGUUAAUACCCAUCAGGAAAGACAUCACUCACAGAAGAAGCACCGGCUAACUCCGUGCCAGCAGCCGCGGUAAUACGGAGGGUGCGAGCGUUAAUCGGAAUUACUGGGCGUAAAGCGCGCGUAGGUGGCUUGAUAAGCCGGUUGUGAAAGCCCCGGGCUCAACCUGGGAACGGCAUCCGGAACUGUCAAGCUAGAGUGCAGGAGAGGAAGGUAGAAUUCCCGGUGUAGCGGUGAAAUGCGUAGAGAUCGGGAGGAAUACCAGUGGCGAAGGCGGCCUUCUGGACUGACACUGACACUGAGGUGCGAAAGCGUGGGUAGCAAACAGGAUUAGAUACCCUGGUAGUC
rnacentral:rRNA from 1 species